GGAUUUCUGAGUUCGAGGCCAGCAUGGUCUACAGAGUGAGUUCCAGGACAGCCAGAGCUACACAGAGAAACCCUGUCUCAAAAAACCAAAAAAAAAAAAAAAAAAACCACGAAGACAUUGGUGCAGUUAAAAUUACUUCUAUGUAAAGCCAGGUGCGUGGUGAUACAGGGCUGUAACCAACACUUCAGAGGCCAAGGCAGGAGAUGACAAGUUCAGGGCCAACCAUAACAACCUAAUAAGACUUUGUCUUUAAAAAUAGAAGAAGAAAAAAAAUUAACCUAGGUGUUCACACCCAAAUGCUAAGAAGAUUGCCACAAGUGCAAGGCCAGACUAAACUACAACAUGAAACCAUGUCUGAAGCAAACACUACGAAAAAGCAGGGAUGGUAGAACAGUUCUGUGAUCCCGCUGUUCUAGAAACUGUAGCAGUUCAAAUAAUCCCAAUGCCUGUCUGGCCUACAAAAUAAGUUUAAGACCUGCUCCUGCUCAGACAACUUAGACCCAAUUUUAUAAUAAUAAUAAUAGAAGCCAGGCUUGGUGACUCAUACCUGUUAGUCCCACCUUAGGAACUCUGAGAAAAGAAGACUGCCACAAAAUUGAAAUUGGCCAUGGUGGGCUCAGAGUGAAACUGUAUCUCAAAAGACAAAUGAUUUUUUUUAAAUAUAAUAAUACUUAUUAUUUAUAUGAAACAUAAUUUUUGUGUGCUUAGAUUUGAAUCUCCCCAAGAAAACUGAUUUUUAUAUCUGAAAAUUUUAUACUCGCAAGCAUUUUAUAUAAGGAUAUACUAUAUCCUAUUCUAUAUGAUACAUUGCCUUUAAGGAAUUGAAACCUUCUCAUUUAAUUAAGCAAUUCACUUCUUUGCCUUUAAUCCCAGCAUUUAGGAGGCAGAAGAAGGUGAAUCUCUGAGUUCAAGGCCAACCUGGUCUACAGAGCAAAUUCCAGGACAGCCAGGGCUGUACCGAGAAACCCUGUUUUGAAAAACAAAACAAACAAACAAAAGAAUG
rnacentral:lncRNA from 1 species